GACGAACGCUGGCGGCGUGCUUAACACAUGCAAGUCGAACGGAAAGGCCCUGCUUGCAGGGUACUCGAGUGGCGAACGGGUGAGUAACACGUGGGUGAUCUGCCCUGCACUUCGGGAUAAGCCUGGGAAACUGGGUCUAAUACCGGAUAGGAGCCAUUUUUAGUGUGAUGGUUGGAAAGUUUUUUCGGUGUAGGAUGAGCUCGCGGCCUAUCAGCUUGUUGGUGGGGUAAUGGCCUACCAAGGCGGCGACGGGUAGCCUGCCUGAGAGGGUGGACGGCCACAUUGGGACUGAGAUACGGCCCAGACUCCUACGGGAGGCAGCAGUGGGGAAUAUUGCACAAUGGGCGCAAGCCUGAUGCAGCGACGCCGCGUGGGGGAUGACGGCCUUCGGGUUGUAAACUCCUUUCGCUAGGGACGAAGCUUUUUGUGACGGUACCUAGAUAAGAAGCACCGGCUAACUACGUG
rnacentral:rRNA from 1 species